UGGAGAGUUUGAUCCUGGCUCAGAUUGAACGCUGGCGGCAGGCCUAACACAUGCAAGUCGAGCGGUAGCACAGGGAGCUUGCUCCUGGGUGACGAGCGGCGGACGGGUGAGUAAUGUCUGGGAAACUGCCCGAUGGAGGGGGAUAACUACUGGAAACGGUAGCUAAUACCGCAUAACGUCUUCGGACCAAAGUGGGGGACCUUAGGGCCUCACACCAUCGGAUGUGCCCAGAUGGGAUUAGCUAGUAGGUGGGGUAAUGGCUCACCUAGGCGACGAUCCCUAGCUGGUCUGAGAGGAUGACCAGCCACACUGGAACUGAGACACGGUCCAGACUCCUACGGGAGGCAGCAGUGGGGAAUAUUGCACAAUGGGCGCAAGCCUGAUGCAGCCAUGCCGCGUGUGUGAAGAAGGCCUUCGGGUUGUAAAGCACUUUCAGCGAGGAGGAAGGCCAGUAGCUUAAUAAGCUGYUGGAUUGACGUUACUCGCAGAAGAAGCACCGGCUAACUCCGUGCCAGCAGCCGCGGUA
rnacentral:rRNA from 1 species